rnacentral:rRNA from 1 species
UUUUCGGAGAGUUUGAUCCUGGCUCAGGACGAACGCUGGCGGCGUGCCUAAUACAUGCAAGUCGAGCGAACAGAAGGGAGCUUGCUCCCGGAUGUUAGCGGCGGACGGGUGAGUAACACGUGGGUAACCUGCCUGUAAGACUGGGAUAACUCCGGGAAACCGGAGCUAAUACCGGAUAGUUCCUUGAACCGCAUGGUUCAAGGAUGAAAGACGGUUUCGGCUGUCACUUACAGAUGGACCCGCGGCGCAUUAGCUAGUUGGUGGGGUAAUGGCUCACCAAGGCGACGAUGCGUAGCCGACCUGAGAGGGUGAUCGGCCACACUGGGACUGAGACACGGCCCAGACUCCUACGGGAGGCAGCAGUAGGGAAUCUUCCGCAAUGGACGAAAGUCUGACGGAGCAACGCCGCGUGAGUGAUGAAGGUUUUCGGAUCGUAAAGCUCUGUUGUUAGGGAAGAACAAGUGCGAGAGUAACUGCUCGCACCUUGACGGUACCUAACCAGAA